AUUGAGCGCUGGCGGCAGGCUUAACACAUGCAAGUCGAGCGGAGAUGAGGUGCUUGCACCUUAUCUUAGCGGCGGACGGGUGAGUAAUGCUUAGGAAUCUGCCUAUUAGUGGGGGACAACAUUCCGAAAGGAAUGCUAAUACCGCAUACGUCCUACGGGAGAAAGCAGGGGAACUUCGGACCUUGCGCUAAUAGAUGAGCCUAAGUCGGAUUAGCGAGUUGGGGGGGUAAAGGCCUACCAAGGCGACGAUCUGUAGCGGGUCUGAGAGGAUGAUCCGCCACACUGGGACUGAGACACGGCCCAGACUCCUACGGGAGGCAGCAGUGGGGAAUAUUGGACAAUGGGGGGAACCCUGAUCCAGCCAUGCCGCGUGUGUGAAGAAGGCCUUAUGGUUGUAAAGCACUUUAAGCGAGGAGGAGGCUACUGAGACUAAUACUCUUGGAUAGUGGACGUUACUCGCAGAAUAAGCACCGGCUAACUCUGUGCCAGCCGCCGCCGUAAUAC
rnacentral:rRNA from 1 species